rnacentral:misc_RNA from 1 species
UUUCCGUAGGUGAACCUGCGGAAGGAUCAUUACAGUAGUCACCCAGGUUGCCGCAAGGCCUCCUGGGUAACCUACCACCCUUUGUUUAUUACACUUUGUUGCUUUGGCACGCCUGCCCUCGCGCUGCUGGCUCCGGCCGGCGAGCGCUUGUCAGAGGACCUAAACUCUGUCUGUCUAUACUGUCUGAGUACUAUAUAAGAGUUAAAACUUUCAACAACGGAUCUCUUGGUUCUG